CCCAUUGAACCCACGUUCUUCCCUGGUCAAUCCCCAACCCACCUCUCCCCGAUGCCCACGGCCCAGCGCCACCACCCCCAAUCGCUCCCCAAUCCCCACCCCCACGAGCAUGCCGCUCCGGUGCGGUGUAGGAUCCGGAUCGGGCUCAGCACCCCAGCCGCCCCACUCCUCCUUCCUCUGCCCCCUCAUCCCAACCUUCCUCCAACUCCACCGGCAACCACGGCAGCCGCCGAGGUCACCGUGGCCCUCUCCUCCCUAGAUCCGGCGAGCCCCCCAUGGCCCUCUCCUCCCUGCACCCCACCGCGACCGGCCCGCGGCCUUCCUCCCCUCGCCGGUGAGCUGCGGUGUUCCUCCACCGACAGAUCCAGGCCACGGCGGCCCCCCUCACAAUGCCCCGUCGCCAGAUCCGGUGGCCCACGCUGCCCCUCCGCCUACCAGCAGGCGCGGCCUCCCCGUCCACUCGACGGCUACCACGGGAUGGCUGGCGGUCUCCCAUGGCCUUCUCCCACCUCUGUACUCGCCGGCCGCCGCACCCACAAGCCAUCGGUGGCGGUACCGUGCAGUCCACUGCAUUUGUGCACACAGCACACCCAUUCUGCAGGCUGAAGAACUUGCAACAUUCUACUUGUCGUCCAGGACUUGAACGCGAGGACGCAGAUGUACAAGGCGGAAACUCCGACGUAGGUCACGCUGACCGCCUACAAGGACAAUACCUUCGAGUUUGUGGUGAAGUCGCCGUCGGUCUCAUGGUUCCUCAAGAAGGCGGCGGGCAUCGAGACGGCGAGCAGCCGGCCGGGCCACAACAUCAUCAUGGUGACGUCCCUCUCGCUCUGGCAUGUGUACGAGAUCGCCAAGCUGAAGCAGGCCGACCCGUUCUGCAAGCACAUGUCUGCUCGAGGCCCUGUGCAAUACAUCACAAGGUGAAGUGUCUUCAGGAUUACUUUGGUGCCAAUUUGCUUGGUUUCAUCACAAGGUCAAGGUGAAGUGUCCGCUCCUCGCACCUCUACCUCGCCACCGACGAGAACGCAACACAGGAGGAUCCCUCUCGAGUGGCUUGGAGUACCAUGGUUGGCUGUGUGCGUGCAGUUCCGAGGGCGUCGACAUGUCGUUCACAUUUUUUUGUUUUGGAAAAAAAAAAUCUCUAGUGCAGUGCUGUUCGAUUUAUUUGUUUCCGAAAAGAAGUCUGGUGCACUGCACUUUGCUUUUUUUAGAAGGCAUGCAGUACAGUUUUACUAUUUGCUUUCAUGCCGGCCAGAUUACUGGAUUUUAGCAGAAGAUGAGAGAACAUAAAAAAACACGUGUAUAUAUAGUAUUGAUUUUUUCUGUUCAUUGUGAAGACGCUUAUUGUUCACAUUGUAAAAAAACCAAAGAAGACGGUUCAUUGUAAAAUUUCCUAGGGAAACAAAAAGAAAAGCAAUGUGGUUCGCUUUCA